rnacentral:rRNA from 1 species
AUUGAACGCUGGCGGCAGGCCUAACACAUGCAAGUCGAACGGUAACAGGAAACAGCUUGCUGUUUCGCUGACGAGUGGCGGCCGGGUGAGUAAUGUCUGGGAAACUGCCUGAUGGAGGGGGAUAACUACUGGAAACGGUAGCUAAAACCGCAUAACGUCGCAAGACCAAAGAGGGGGAGCUUCGGGCCUCUUGCCUUCGGAUGUGCCCAGAUGGGAUUAGCUAGUAGGUGGGGUAACGGCUCACCUAGGCGCCGAUCCCUAGCUGGUCUGAGAGGAUGACCAGCCACACUGGAACUGAGACACGGUCCAGACUCCUACGGGUGGCAGCAGUGGGGAAUAUUGCACAAUGGGCGCAAGCCUGAUGCAGCCAUGCCGCGUGUAUGAAGAAGGCCUUCGGGUUGUAAAGUACUUUCAGCGGGGAGGAAGGGAGUAAAGUUAAUACCUUUGCUCAUUGACGUUACCCGCUGAAGAAGCACCGGCUAACUCCGUG